UACGGGGGGUGCAAGCGUCGUUCGGAUUUAUUGGGCGUAAAGCGCGUGUAGGCGGUUUGUUAAGUCUGUUGUGAAAGCCCUGGGCUCAACCCGGGAAGUGCACUGGAUACUGGCAGACUUGAAUACGGGAGAGGAGAGUGGAAUUCCUGGUGUAGGAGUGAAAUCCGUAGAUAUCAGGAGGAACACCGGUGGCGAAGGCGGCUCUCUGGACCGAUAUUGACGCUGAGACGCGAAAGCGUGGGUAGCAAACAGG
rnacentral:rRNA from 1 species